rnacentral:rRNA from 1 species
GUGAGGAAUAUUGGGCAAUGCCCGGAAGGGUGACCCAGCAACGCCGCGUGAGGGAUGAAGGCCGUAAGGUUGUAAACCUCUGUAAGUUGGGACGAAAAAGUGGGUUGAUAGCCCACAUUGACUGUACCGACAGAGUAAGCUCCGGCUAACUACGUGCCAGCAGCCGCGGUAAUACGUAGGGAGCCAGCGUUGUCCGGAUUUACUGGGUGUAAAGGGCGCGUAGGCGGGUUAGUAAGUCAGAGGUGAAAUCCUACAGCUUAACUGUAGAACUGCCUUUGAUACUGCUAAUCUUGAGUUCAGAAGAGAGAGAUGGAAUUCCAGGUGUAGUGGUGAAAUACGUAGAUAUCUGGAAGAACACCGGUGGCGAAGGCGAUCUCUUGGUCUGACACUGACGCUGAGGCGCGAAAGCGUGGGUAGCAAACAGGAUUAGAAACCCCGGUAGUCC